CAGCAGCCACGGGAAUACAGAGGGUGCGAGCGUUAAUCGGAUUUACUGGGCGUAAAGGGCGCGUAGGCGGUUUAGUGAGUGUGAUGUGAAAGCCCCGGGCUUAACCUGGGAAGUGCAUCGCAAACGACUAAACUGGAGUAUAAGAGAGGGUGGCGGAAUUUCCGGUGUAGCGGUGAAAUGCGUAGAGAUCGGAAGGAACGUCAAUGGCGAAGGCAGCCACCUGGCUUAAUACUGACGCUGAGGCGCGAAAGCGUGGGGAUCAAACAGGAUUAGAUACCCGUGUAGUCCCUGUCUCUUAUAC
rnacentral:rRNA from 1 species